UAGGGACCAGGAUUAGAUACCCUGUUACUUAUUAGGAAAAUAUUUUGGAAUAGUAAUUUUUAUGAAAUUUAAUGGAUUUGGCGGCAAGAUAGCUUUUUAGAGGAACCUGCCCUGUAAACGAUGAACCACGAGGGCCUUACUUUUUUUAGUAAUUUAGUUUGUAUACCGCUGUUGUUAGUUAGAUUUUUGAGAAUAUUUUCGUUUAUGAUAAGGUCAUUGACUUCAAGUAAAGGUGCAGCUUAUAAGAAAGAUAGAGGUGGGUUACAUUUAUAAGAUUAUAACGGAUAAGGUAUAUUAAAUUAGUCUUUGAAGGUGGAUUUAACUGUAAAACUUAAGGAAGUUUGGUGAUAGCUCUGUUUUGUGUACACACCGCCCGUCGCUCUCUUUUUUAAA
rnacentral:rRNA from 1 species